GUUAGGAAAUUGGACAAUGGGCGCAAGCCUGAUCCAGCCAUGCCGCGUGAGUGAUGAAGGCCUUCGGGUUGUAAAGCUCUUUAGUCCACGAAUAUAAUGACUGUAGUGGAAGAAUAAGCCCCGGCUAACUUCGUGCCAGCAGCCGCGGUAAUACGAAGGGGGCGAGCGUUAUUCGGAAUCACUGGGCGUAAAGCGUGCGUAGGCUGUUUUGUAAGUCAGAAGUGAAAGCCCAGGGCUUAACCCUGGAAUUGCUUUUGAAACUACAAGACUCGAAUUCGGGAGAGGAUAGCGGAAUUGUCAGUGUAGCAGUGAAAUGCGUAGAUAUUGACAGGAACACCAGUGGCGCAAGCGGCUAUCUGGACCGAUAUUGACGCUGAGGCACGAAAGCGUGGGGAGCAAACAGGAUUAGAUACCCGAGUAGUCC
rnacentral:rRNA from 1 species